rnacentral:rRNA from 1 species
AAUUAAGUUAUUAAGGGCAUAGAGUGAAUGCCUUGGUGCUAGAAGGCGAUGAAGGACGUGAUAAGCUGCGAUAAGCUUCGGUAAACUGCAAACAAGUGCUUGAACCGGAGAUUUCCGAAUGGGGUAACCUGAUACCGUUUAACGGUAUCGUUUAUUUCUGAAUAAAAUAAGAAAUAAUACGCAAAACCCGCUGAAUUGAAACAUCUUAGUAAGCGGAGGAAAAGAAAGAGAAUUCGAUUCUGUGAGUAGCGGCGAGCGAAAACGGACCAGCCCAAACCUUGGCUUUUGUCAGGGGGUUGUAGGACCCCAAUGUGGGACUUUGAACGAUAGGUGAAGCAAAUGGAAACUUGCGACAUAGAGGGUGACAUCCCCGUAACCGAAAUCCGACAAAGCCCUAGGGAGUUCCUGAGUAGCACGGGACACGUGAAACCCCGUGUGAAUCUGCGCAGACCACUGCGUAAGGCUAAAUACUAACUAGCGACCGAUAGUGAACCAGUACCGUGAGGGAAAGGUGAAAAGUACCCCUGUGAGGGGAGUGAAAUAGAACCUGAAACCCUAUGCCUACAAGGUGUAAGAGCACUUUCGAGUGUGAUUGCGUGCCUUUUGCUUAAUGAGUCUGCGAGUUACUUUCUGUGGCAAGCAUAAGAUCUUCUGGAUCGGAUGCGUAGCGAAAGCAAGUCCGAAUAGGGCGAACAUAGUUGCAGGAGGUAGACCCGAAACGGAGGUGACCUACCCAUGGCCAGGUUGAAGCGUCGGUAAUACGACGUGGAGGACCGAACCGGUGUGUGUUGAAAAACGCUCGGAUGAGCUGUGGGUCGGAGUGAAAGGCUAUUCAAACCCCGUGAUAGCUGGUUCUCCUC